rnacentral:SRP_RNA from 1 species
GUUGGCUUGGGCGGCAUCAUGUUUCGAACCUGGUCAGGUCCUGACGGAAGCAGCCAUAAGGAGCCGCUGAUGAGCGCCCAAGCCUUCUGG